rnacentral:lncRNA from 1 species
GCUUAAGCCUGACAAAACUCUGUCCUCAGUGAUCUGUCCUCACCGAUCUAUGAAGAUAGUCAUGGAGAUGAGGGGAAGGAAUGGCAAGAGAGUUUUAUGGUAGAGAAUGGGCCUAACGAGUCUGGGUGGAGACAUUAGAAUGAGGAAGUAGCGAAGUAGGAAGACGGAAAGGCCACCAUAUGAGGCUUGAUUGCCAAACCAAACCACCAUAUUCCUAGAGAAAGGUGAGGAGGGGGCCAUGAGACAAGCGGGAGACUUCAUGAUGAGACCCUAUUGCUGAAGACACCUCGUACUUGUAUCCUAGAACCCAGAGAAAUCAAAGCCUAUGCACCUAGAAGCUUCAACUUACUGGCUAGCUUUUGUAAUACUGGAAAGUGCUAUGCAUGCCACCAGAGGAGAAAAGUAAUCACUACUCUUACCUAGCUGUGAAGUCUGCAAGCUACAACAAUGACCGGCCUUGCAAGACAAGUCUACUAGUGCAAUAGUGCUAUGAAUGUUGUGGGAAUGACUAAUCACUUAUUGAUUAGAGGAUGCCUGACGGUAUAAUCAUCUGGCUGCAUCUCUGAAACAGCACUAGGAAUUGGGAAGCAUGUUAGCAAACACUCGAUGAAGCCACUCUGAAGAAAACAUCAUUAAUCAUGGCAUCUGAUAAGUGACAUGCAGGGUCCAGAUCCAUUUCGACAUUACACUCAUACUGAAUUCCUGCAGUCGGUCCUUGGUGCAUAGGGAUUAGGCAUCUUUCUGUGAAUGAGAUUAGGGCUUAGGUAUCUUUAUUUAACACAAUUUCUUUAUUGAAUCUUUGGGAAUUUCACAUCAUACACCCCAAUUCUACUCACCUUCCAUCCCCUUCAUUUCCUUCCUUACCCCCUUCAGCAGCCCCCUGAAAGAAAAUAAAAAACAAAACAAAACAAACCAAAACAAGCAAACAAAAAGAAAAUCAACAACAAUAUCAUAACCAGAACUUCCAUCUUUCUCACCUCUCCAACACCUCUUCAUUUGUCCUGGUAGCAUUGGGACCCUUGGUGUGUCACACAUUGUACCCUUUUGUCCUAUCAGCUUGACUGGCAAAUGUUCAUUGCAAUGAGUCACUGGUCUGUUCAAGGCCUCUGGUUUCUGGUACACCAUCUUCUCUGGAUCCUCACUGAAACGCUACUUGGAUAUCCCUCUGUUGCCCCAAGUCAUAGAGAUCCUGUGUUUAUCAUUUUACAGGACCAGUUCUUUUCACAGACCAGCUCAUUUACCCCUCCCCCCCACUGCCCACCCUAGCAUCUGCCCCAUCUGGGAUUAGGCAUCUUUAUUGUGAAUGAAAUUAGGGAUUAGCCAUCUUUAUUGUGAAUGAAAUUAGGGAUUGGGCAUCUUUAUUGUGAAUGAAAUGUGGGACUAGGCAUCUUUAUUGUGAAUGAGAGAUGUAUAUUUCCCAAAAUGCAACCUCCCCAAGAUGCUGUGGUUUCCAAUUGCAGAUGUUUUCCAGUGCAAUUUUCUUUGCUCAUUGCUGCUCAGUUUCCCCAAAAUGUACAAUUUCCAUCGUAUCAAUCACCUACUGGAAAUACAUUACAAAAACCUAUGAGAGUGCCCCAUUGCUUUUUUGAGUAAAUAAAAAACCUUAAGUUGGUAUUUAAGACAUUUCAUUAUUGCUAGGUUUAUCCUUCCCUAGGGAAUUUUCAUUCAACUUAAAAAAAAUCGGCAGAUGCAUACUAGCUGAGUGUCUAUGAUUCUAUUGCUUCUUGAGUGAUGUUCCUGCCUCUUCUGAGAUGGUUGUGUUCAUGAGUCACAUACCUAUUUCUUUUGCAAAAGGUUGUGCAGGCACUCCCCGGGGCUUCUAUCCAGAGCACGCUUUACCAAUAAUGAAUUUCUUCAUUUUAGCAUCUUUUGCAAAUCUAUGUAGGCUGAGAACUUACUAAGUAAUUGGCUUCGGGCUCCUGGCACUGUUUACUGUGUUGUUCCUUUCACACUUUCCCCUGUUUUCUCAUAAGUAGCAAAGAGGAAUGAAACUCUAAAUAUUUAGGCUAGAAUCUCCUAGGCCAAAAAUGUCCAAGUUCACCACUUCCAGCUUAUUUUAUGUUCAAAGGAGAGCAACUUUUGUGCCAUUUUACAAGUACAGACAUUCCUUUAGCUUACAAUAAUCUAUUCCCCAUUUUGUUUUCAGGCAUCACCAGAAAUACAUUUAAUAUUCAUAUUUUGCUAACAAUCUGCUUAUGGUGAUGUACAUACACACAAAUACACACUCUGUCUCUCAAUAUACACUCACACACAUAUACAAACAUACAUGCACUCAAACACACACUAAUUCACACCAUAAACAUACAUAUAAACACACAUAGAUUCACAUGCAUAUACAACACACACACAUACUCAUACACUCACAUAUACACAUAUGUGCACACAACAUAUACACACAUAUGUACACACUCAAACACAUACACUUCAAAGCAAUCUAGCCUUUUCUUUUGUUUCCUCUUUUAUUUUAUGUGUAUGGGUGUUUGCCUUCCCUGUGCUUGGUGUUCAAAGAGACCAGAAGAGCACACUGGAUCUCCUGGAACUGGAGUUACAGCAGUUCUUGAGCCCCUGUUUGGGUGCUGGGAACUGAACUUAGGUCCUCUGCAAGAGCAACAGUGCUCUUCAUUGUUGAGACAUCUCUCUAGCUGAGCUAGCCUUGUUAAUCAUACCCUAAAAUCCUUCUAGCCUCUAUACAUUCCCUAUUCAUUCCUAUUUUUUUCUAUAAUAACUAGAUGGAUUUAAAUACAUGUUAUUUACAACGUAAAUGGACAUUCUUCAUUUGCUUUGUAUUCUGUGAGAAGUUUGUCUCAACUGGUUGUAUGAAAUUGACAAGCUUCAUUUAAACAGAAGUGCUACAAUGAGUCUUAAAGUGGAGGCUUAAAGUAGAAGUUGCAUUGUAUAUAAUAUAUAUAUAUAUAUAUAUAUAUAUAUAUAUAUAUAUACAAUUAUAUAGUGUAUACAUUCAUUUGCAUAAUCAAAGAAGUUAUGUAUUUAC